rnacentral:rRNA from 1 species
UUUUGGACAAUGGGCGAAAGCCUGAUCCAGCCAUGCCGCGUGAGUGAAGAAGGCCUUCGGGUUGUAAAGCUCUUUCGGACGGAAAGAAAUCGCGCCGGUGAAUAUCCGGCGUGGAUGACGGUACCGUAAGAAGAAGCACCGGCUAACUACGUGCCAGCAGCCGCGGUAAUACGUAGGGUGCGAGCGUUAAUCGGAAUUACUGGGCGUAAAGCGUGCGCAGGCGGUUGUGCAAGACAGGUGUGAAAUCCCCGGGCUUAACCUGGGAACUGCGCUUGUGACUGCACGGCUAGAGUACGGCAGAGGGGGGUGGAAUUCCUGGUGUAGCAGUGAAAUGCGUAGAUAUCAGGAGGAACAUCGAUGGCGAAGGCAGCCCCCUGGGCCUGUACUGACGCUCAUGCACGAAAGCGUGGGGAGCAAAC